rnacentral:lncRNA from 1 species
UUUGUACCUGCCAAGGCAAUCACAGAUCAAUUUCAAGACGUUUCUGUUUUCCUGAUUGGACUCCCAUUGAUAUGCUGAUUGAGCUUAGCUGCAAAGCAAACAGCCUUGCUGGGGAGAUUAGCCGACAGAGCAGGUUAACAUCCGGAGGUCAAAACAUCUCUCAAGAACCUCUUUGCCUUGGCUUCUCAGAGCCACCUUUGGAUUAUACAGUAAUUUCACCCGCCGCGACACCUCACUUUAUUCAUCAUAUCAGUCAUUCACCGAUUGGCUCUUCCUCAGACGGGAUGAGUGGCGACCACUUACCGUAUUCCAAACGAAGCCUGAGGAAAGACAAGCCCAGGCCGGCUUUCUGUUCCCACAAGGAUACAGUCACAGAAGCAGAGCUGAGCCUGGUGUGGAUCAACUGACCUCCAGCCGAUCCCUAGAUGCGUGAGCAAGCCCAGCCAAGAUCAGCACAGCCCAGCCAAGAUCAUCUGAGCCUGGACCAGACUAUCUGAUCCGUGGACACAAGAUACAGAAUAAACCCUCUUUGUG